UUAUUUGAACUCUCGCACGUCUUGAGAAGAGUCUCCGUAGAUGAUGUUCAAAAAAAAAAGUCACCGUAGAUCUCUCAUCUUCUCCCGCCCAUGACAGCAACUUCCCAACUUUUCUGCCGCGAGAAGCCCUAGAAGAAUCUCUUAAUCCAUAAUCGGUGGCGGCGCCUUCCAUUCCAAAUCUCCGCCUAGUGCAGGGGCAGGGUUGAUGGAUCCUCGAUGGACUGCAAAAGCCUAUGAGAUCCGCAUGAAGGUCAUCUGCACCAAUCCCUGCCACACCGACAUCAUCUUCUCGCAAGGCAAGGAUCUUCUAGGACACGAGGCCUGUGGUUAAGUUUCUCGGAUUUUGCCGCUGAUGAGUACGUGAAGGCGGCCGGGGACAAAGGCAAAUGUAUAAGAUGUAACGAACACAAAAACUGUGAAUUUGGGUGGUGCUGCGUGCAGGGUGGUGGUGAGCUUGCCGGAGCACGUAGAGGGGUCUACGGUGGGAAACACAGUGGGGCCAACGUUCGUGUAGCAGUGCUACUCGUGCAGCAGCAGAGCGUUUGAGUGGAAGAACGUGUGCACUAUGCUGUCAUUCGUCGUCGGCCCCGGGAUGCUUCGCGACGGCACCAUCAAGUUCAGGGACAGCCAUGGGGCAUUUUGCUGCUCGUCUUCCUCUGUUUUGUGGUUUGUGUUUUUUGCAUUUCUGUUGAUUUAUGUAUAUUUUUUAAGGGGAACUUAGUCAUAUUCCUACACUAGACUGAAGAUGCAGAAGUUAGAAGUUACAUGGAUACUAGAACCAAGGAGGAACAGUUAGAUACCUAGGCAAGUACGAGGAUAUUCUUUCUUACAUCGCCCAUCUUAUUUAGAAAUAUACUAGAAACUGAUUACACAAUCUUCAACAUUGCAGUCUCUAAUUUUUCUCUUUGAAACAACACGGACUACUAUUGAAAAAGUUGCUUGCCACUUAGGACCAUAAUCUUAUACUUGAAAUACUGAACCAUCUCCCUGGAGAAAAUUUAUUUGCUUGUCAUAUAUAUUGGCAGUACGAACUUGCAUCAAAUUAACAGUAUCCGGAUUAACUUAGAAGGUUCAUAUUCAGAAAAACCAUUUUAGGCUAGAGACCUUUGUUCGAGUAAUGAUCUUCUGAUGACUGGCAGCCCAGCUACUGCAUGAUUGUAACAGCAGAACUUAAAAUUUACUUCUCUGGUCCACCCAGGGUAUUAUCUGAGGCGACGGCUUGUCUAGACAUAUUUUAUUUCAGUAUAUAUACAUUUGAAAUAAUGAUUCGUGGACUUCUAAGUUACCAAUCCAUAUUAUAUAUGAAUAUGCAGGUUAAUUACAAAAUUUACCAAUCCGUACUAUGAAUCUGCAGGUUAAUUACAAAAUGUAUAUAUACUAAAUUGGAUUAUUAAUAGCAAUCCUAAAUAUUUUUAUUAUCUACCAUAUGCCUUCAUCUUUUUUCCCCACCUUAUUUGUACAAGAGAACACUUACGGGAGUACCAUACUAUACUAUAACUGAAACUUAUGACAAACUAAUAACAUAAUGCUUGCACAUACUGCCCAUUCAGUUUCACAAAGCAUUUUAAAUCUGCUUUUUUUUGGCAUAUCUUCCUAUUACUACCGCUAAAUGUAGAAAUUAUACAUCAGUCAUGCCUUCUUUUCUAUUGUUUUCGAGCAUAUAAUGCCUCUAAAAAUGGAUAAGAGCCAGUGCAUCUUUAAUUCCUAAAUUUUGGAAUAUCAAUUAUUUUCUCCUUAAUGUCUUAUGUUUGCAACUCAGCAUACAACAUAGCUAUAUAUUUUAAUAGGUUAACGAUGUGACAUCAAGCUAUCUAUGAAGUUUUAUGUUUGUUUUUCUUUUUGCAAUAAUCACACAAUGCAUCUAGUCUUCAUAACUGCAACCUAGAUCAUCUGGAAGGAAAGAAAUCACAAGAUAUUUUGGAAUAUUGACCCAUCAUUUGAUUCCUGGAAAACUAUAUUUAAGUGAGAUUAUUCCCUUCUGCUACAUAGAGCCAAGGCUGAUCUAGGGCCAGCUAUAUUCUCUGUUGUAAAUUCAGUAAACUAGCUAACCUUUUUUUUGUUUUUAUUCUUCGCCUAACUCUUCCUUUGGCUUACCACCUCAUUCUUCAUUGGUUAUAUGGUGCUGGGUUUGAGGGUGGCAGCCUCGGUUGGACAACAGAUGUAAGGUAAGUAACUUGUGAGCCUUUAUGUGUUUGUAUGACCUUUCCUACUGACUUUUGAUUAAAAAAACCACAAAUUACAUUGUAUCAAGACACUAAUUCACUAUACAAGGUGGAAAAAUGCUGAUGGCUUAGAACAUGCCGCUCAAUAGAUGUAGUGGAAUUGAUUAUCGCAUGACCUUCUCUGUACGUUGCUCCUCCAAAUUUUACUUUUCUAUUAAUCUGAUUUUCUCUAAUGUAUGUUACUUAUCUCAUUUCUUUGCUGUUGCAGAUUGCGAAGAUAAACUAAUAUGCAUGGCUCGGGUGUGGAUUGCAAGGUCGAGAAUGAAGCUACUACUAGAUAGUUCCACAUGAUGUUUUAGAUUUUUUUUGCAAGAUCAAUGCUUCAAACAUUAUGUUUUUACAAUGGCUGAGAUGUUAAUUGCAAGGUCGAGAAUUAGGCCGCUGCUACUAGAUAGUUCACAUCUUGUAAUCUUUGGAUCGCGUUCUUUGUAAUGCAACAGUCAAAUUAAUA